rnacentral:rRNA from 1 species
AACGAACGCUGGCGGCAUGCCUAACACAUGCAAGUCGAACGAUUGCCUUCGGGUGAUAGUGGCGCACGGGUGCGUAACGCGUGGGAAUCUGCCCUUAGGUUCGGAAUAACAGCUGGAAACGGCUGCUAAUACCGGAUGAUAUCGCGAGAUCAAAGAUUUAUCGCCUGAGGAUGAGCCCGCGUUGGAAUAGGUAGUUGGUGGGGUAAAGGCCUACCAAGCCGACGAUCCAUAGCUGGUCUGAGAGGAUGAUCAGCCACACUGGGACUGAGACACGGCCCAGACUCCUACGGGAGGCAGCAGUGGGGAAUAUUGGACAAUGGGCGCAAGCCUGAUCCAGCAAUGCCGCGUGAGUGAUGAAGGCCCUAGGGUUGUAAAGCUCUUUUACCCGGGAAGAUAAUGACUGUACCGGGAGAAUAAGCCCCGGCUAACUCCGUG